UACGAAGGGGGCUAGCGUUGCUCGGAAUCACUGGGCGUAAAGGGUGCGUAGGCGGGUCUUUUAAGUCAGGGGUGAAAUCCUGGAGCUCAACUCCAGAACUGCCUUUGAUACUGAGGAUCUUGAGUUCGGGAGAGGUGAGUGGAACUGCGAGUGUAGAGGUGAAAUUCGUAGAUAUUCGCAAGAACACCAGUGGCGAAGGCGGCUCACUGGCCCGGUACUGACGCUGAUGUGCGAAAGCGUGGGGAGCAA
rnacentral:rRNA from 1 species